ACAAACGCUGGCGGCCUGCCUAACACCUGCCAGUCGAACGGACAGAACAGGGAAGCUUUUCGGAGUGGAACUGGAAAGUUAGUGGCGGAUGGGUGAGUAACGCGUGGACAACCUACCUUGUAAAGGGGAAUAACCUCGAGAAAUCGAAGCUAAUACCCCAUAAUAACCUUGCUUCGCAUGAAGUAAGGAGGAAAGGCGGCCUUAGCGCUGUCGAUACAAGAUGGGUCCGCGUCUGAUUAGCUAGUUGGUGAGGUAAAGGCUCACCAAGGCGACGAUCAGUAGCCGGCCUGAGAGGGUGAACGGCCACAUUGGGACUGAGACACGGCCCAAACUCCUACGGGAGGCAGCAGUGGGGAAUCUUCCGCAAUGGGCGAAAGCCUGACGGAGCAAUGCCGCGUGAGUGAAGAAGGCCUUCGGGUUGUAAAACUCUGUCCUUAUCGAAGAGAGAGUGUUGUAGUAACUGACAAUACUAGGACGGUAGAUGAGGAGGAAGCCCCGGCUAACUAUGUG
rnacentral:rRNA from 1 species